AUGUUUUUACAGACAGUUGCUUCAGAUUUCGACAAACACGAUCACAUACGGGGAAUGUUGUGCGACCAAUAAGCAGGCAGCGGCCGGGUUUAUUUUGGCAGGCUGACUGCGCAUGGCUACAGUCAAUAUGGAAACAACGCCACGGUGGGUAGGAUUUAGCAAACAACGAGUGGUGGCCACGUCAGGUUAGCGCCGCCGCCAAGGCAGCAGAAUGCGGAUUGAGAAACACAAACAGCACAUGCCACGACGGUACGGCUGGCAUGCACACAGUAAACAAACGGGACAGGAGCCAAUGGGAGCUCGAGAUCAUGGCUGUGACAUUCGGAAAGGGCUGAAAACCGAGCACCGUGGUCCCGCCCACCAUUGAGUCUGUUCAGAGGAGGAGGAGGAGGAGGAGGUCGCAGACAUGGAAGCAGUCGGAACUUCGGGUGGGAAAGUGCCCCCUCUCUUCAUCCCCUUGAAAUGUCAAAGUAUCUUUUUAAGAGUUCCCUCUGAAUAUGUGUUUUUGCUUUUAAAAUGUACUAAAAAGACACACAGUCUGAAUUUGA